rnacentral:rRNA from 1 species
UACGUAGGGUGCGAGCGUUAAUCGGAAUUACUGGGUGUAAAGCGUGCGCAGGCGGUUCGUUAAGUUCGUUGUGAAAGCCCCGGGCUCAACCUGGGAACUGCAAUGGAAACUGGCGGGCUUGAGUGCGGCAGAGGGGGGUGGAAUUCCGCGUGUAGCAGUGAAAUGCGUAGAGAUGCGGAGGAACACCGAUGGCGAAGGCAGCCCCCUGGGCCGACACUGACGCUCAGGCACGAAAGCGUGGGGAGCAAACAGG